UACGUAGGGUGCGAGCGUUGUCCGGAAUCAUUGGGCGUAAAGGGCGCGUAGGUGGCCCGGUCAGUUCGUGGUGAAAGCGCGGGGCUCAACUGCGGGCUGCAGUCGAUACGGGCAGGCUGGAGUUCGGUAGGGGAGACUGGAAUUCCUGGUGUAGCGGUGAAAUGCGCAGAUAUCAGGAGGAACACCGGUGGCGAAGGCGGGUCUCUGGGCCGAUACUGACGCUGAGGAGCGAAAGCGUGGGGAGCGAACAGG
rnacentral:rRNA from 1 species